rnacentral:rRNA from 1 species
CUCCCUACGGGGGGCAGCAGUCGGGAAUAUUGCGCAAUGGAGGAAACUCUGACGCAGUGACGCCGCGUGCAAGAAGAAGGUUUUCGGAUUGUAAACUGCUUUAGACAGGGAAGAAAAAAGACAGUACCUGUAGAAUAAGCUCCGGCUAACUACGUGCCAGCAGCCGCGGUAAUACGUAGGGGGCAAGCGUUAUCCGGAUUUACUGGGUGUAAAGGGGGCGCAGACGGCGAUGCAAGCCAGGAGUGAAAGCCCGGGGCCCAACCCCGGGACUGCUCUUGGAACUGCGUGGCUGGAGUGCAGGAGGG